UAAAUGCCUAGACACCUGGCAGCAAGAGGUC
rnacentral:piRNA from 1 species